GUAGUAAUUCUAGAGCUAAUACAUGCGUAAAGUCCCGACUUUUUGGAAGGGAUGUAUUUAUUAGAUUAAAAACCAAUGCAGGCAACUGCUCCUUUGGUGAUUCAUAGUAACUUUAACGGAUCGCACGGCUUCACGCUGGCGACAGUUCAUUCAAAUUUCUGCCCUAUCAGCUUUCGACGGUACUGUAGUGGACUACCGUGGCAUUAACGGGUGACGGAGAAUUAGGGU
rnacentral:rRNA from 1 species